rnacentral:rRNA from 1 species
AGACAGCAGUAGCCGCGGUAAUACGUAGGGUGCGAGCGUUAAUCGGAAUUACUGGGCGUAAAGCGGGCGCAGACGGUUACUUAAGCAGGAUGUGAAAUCCCCGGGCUCAACCUGGGAACUGCGUUCUGAACUGGGUGACUAGAGUGUGUCAGAGGGAGGUAGAAUUCCACGUGUAGCAGUGAAAUGCGUAGAGAUGUGGAGGAAUACCGAUGGCGAAGGCAGCCUCCUGGGAUAACACUGACGUUCAUGCCCGAAAGCGUGGGUAGCAAACAGGAUUAGAUACCCCCGUAGUCCCUGUCUCUUAUAC